rnacentral:rRNA from 1 species
CACGUAGGCGGACAUUUAAGUCAGGGGUGAAAUCCCGGGGCUCAACCCCGGAACUGCCUUUGAUACUGGGUGUCUGGAGUCCGGAAGAGGUGAGUGGAAUUCCGAGUGUAGAGGUGAAAUUCGUAGAUAUUCGGAGGAACACCAGUGGCGAAGGCGGCUCACUGGUCCGGUACUGACGCUGAGGUGCGAAAGCGUGGGGGAGAACA